AUGUAAUGUAAUUCCUAUAGUGUUAAUGCACCAUAUCACAUUAGAAAUAUGUAGUUAAGUGUUUGGAAUAAAUUAGUACUGGGAUGGGUGACCUCUCGAGAAGUCCUAGUGUUUUACAUG
rfam:Picea glauca, whole genome shotgun sequence.